GCCCGGUUCUUGUCCUGAGCCCAGUUCUGGUCCCGGUUCUGGUCCUGAGCCCGGUUCUGGUCCCGGUUCUGAUCCUGAGCCCGGCUCCGAGCCCGGUUCUAGUCCCGGUUCUGGUCCCGAGCCCGGUUUUGAUCCCGGUCCUGAUCCCUGUCCCGGUUCCGGUUCUGGUCCUGAUCCCGGUUUUAGUCCUGAGCCCGGUCCCGGUCCUGAUCCCGAUCCUGAUCCCGGUUUUAGUCCUGAGCCCGGUCCUGAUCCCAGUUCUGACCCCGGUCCUGAUCCUGGUUCUGAUCUCGGUCCCGGUUCUGAUCCCGAUCCUGAUCCCGGUUUUAGUCCUGAUCCCGAUCCCAGUCCUGAUCCCGAUCCUGAUCCCGGUCCCGAUCCCGGUCCUGAUCCCGAUCCCGAUCUCGGUCCUGAUCCUGGUUUUAUCCCGAUCCCCGUUCUGAUCCCGAUCCCGGGGUGGCUCCCAGUGCUCCCAGUAACGGCUCCCAGUCCCUCCCAGUCCAUCCCAGUUUAUCCCAGUUCAUCCCAGUCCAUCCCAGUCCAUCCCAGUCCAUCCCAGUCCCUCCCAGUUUAUCCCAGUCCCUCCCAGUCCAUCCCAGUUUAUCCCAGUUCCCUCCCAGUCCAUCCCAGUCCAUCCCAGUCCCCUCCCAGUCCAUCCCAGUCCAUCCCAGUCCCUCCCAGAGCCCCUCCCAGUCCAUCCCAGUCCCUCCCAGUUCAUCCCAGUCCAUCCCAGUCCAUCCCAGUUCCCUCCCAGUCCCUCCCAGUCCCUCCCAGUUCCCUCCCAGUCCAUCCCAGUCCAUCCCAGUCCAUCCCAGUCCAUCCCAGUCCCUCCCAGUUUAUCCCAGUUUGCCUCAGAGUCCCCAGCUCGGCCUCUCCCAGCUCAGCUCUGCCCGGA
ensembl:lncRNA